rnacentral:rRNA from 1 species
UACGGGGGGGGCAAGCGUUGUUCGGAAUUACUGGGCGUAAAGGGCUCGUAGGCGGCCAACUAAGUCAGACGUGAAAUCCCUCGGCUUAACCGGGGAACUGCGUCUGAUACUGGAUGGCUAGAGGUUGGGAGAGGGAUGUGGAAUUCCAGGUGUAGCGGUGAAAUUCGUAGAUAUCAGGAGGAACACCGGUGGCGAAGGCGACUUCCUGGACACCAACUGACGCUGAGACGCGAAAGCGUGGGGAGCAAACAGG